UACGUAGGGUGCGAGCGUUAAUCGGAAUUACUGGGCGUAAAGUGUGCGCAGGCGGCGGCGCAAGUCGAGUGUGAAAGCCCCGGGCUUAACUUGGGAAUUGCGCUCGAAACUACGAUGCUGGAGUGUGGCAGAGGAAGGUGGAAUUCCACGUGUAGCGGUGAAAUGCGUAGAGAUGUGGAGGAACACCAAUGGCGAAGGCAGCCUUCUGGGCCAACACUGACGCUCAUGCACGAAAGCGUGGGGAGCAAACAGG
rnacentral:rRNA from 1 species